GGAUGCGAUCAUACCAGCACUAAAGCACCGGAUCCCAUCAGAACUCCGAAGUUAAGCGUGCUUGGGCGAGAGUAGUGCUAGGAUGGGUUCCCUCCUGGGAAGUCCUCGUGUUGCAUUCC
rnacentral:rRNA from 1 species